GUGGCUGUUAUUUGGAAAUAAUAACCGACGUGGAAACAGCUGUGAAGUGAUAGAAACUGACUUCAGUUUGGAAUUCAGAGACUCGGCAGUGAGACUGUGCUUCGGAUGUGACAACAUUCUCCAGGUGUUUAGAAGCAACCUACGGUGAAGAGGAAAAGUGGCAUGAAUAAUACAAAACAACAGAUAACGCACGGAGAAGAUGGCUUCAGCCACAUCUUGGAAACAGGGAUGGGGGUGGUGACUUUGGGACCCGUCUGAUACCAGAGGCAGGUGGCCCAAAUAAGAGUCUGGAGGCAACCAUUUUUGUGGACCAAAUUGCCACAGCAUGGACAUAUUUGGAGUGGAGGAUCAUCGUGUCCUCGUCCCAGGACACCAAGGACACCAUUCUGAGCCGUGGACAACUCAGCAACAGGAGCCGAAGUAGAGGGAGACUGGUGCUUAAAAGAUGUAAAGGCGACUAAUGUCAUAUCUGGACCAGUGAGGAGAUGAAACAAAGACCGGGCUCUCCUGGCUGUCCUUUCUGGACAUAAAGACUGUCCAGCUGUUGCUUAGUGGACAAUAUUGAGACCGAGACUUCCCCCACGACAUGGAGAAGCAAGCCCAGACGGCGGACAAGCAGAUGAAGGUGUGAAUUUCCCCCACACUUUACUUCUAUUCUCAUCUGUAGCAGCUAAAUUUUUAUUGAUUUUUAUCAAUGGACUCAUCCCAAAGUCUGCAGUAUUCAAGAGUUAUAACGGGAACUUCGUAGAGCUGUGGCACUGAAUCACGUACCAUUGUAAACAAUUAACCAAUUGCUUGAAAAAACACGUUCACUCCUCCCAACGGUUUCCAAGAUUAACCUUGGGUGAAGUGCUCCAUUUCUAACCACCCACCCACCAAGUGAACAUUAAUCCUGAGAAGCGAUCAAUAUCUGCAAGUGUGAUGCUGCUAUUAGGAACAGGAUGUGUGAUGUGUAUGUUUCCCUCCCACCUAAAAAUACCGAUUCCCAAAGGGUAGGGCCUACACUGUUGCUUGGAGGCAAGGGCUGGAUCAGUUAAACCGUGAAGUUCCCUCUAGAGCUGGGAUUCUACUUUCGCAUUGGACAACGUUCAGGAGCGAGUAGGUGUUGGUUCCAUAAUAGAAGGCAGAGCCAACAGAAACAAAAGCAACAAACGAUUGAGCUGGAAGGAAGAGAGGAAAUGGAAUUGUACAUCUCUUUUCAAAGUCAUCCAGAUGGAAGAAAUUCCCUUCUAAGUCCCGAUAUACUGUUACCGAGUCUUCCAAGAUUGUGAAAAUUAUGGAUGAUAUUUCAGCAGGAGCUGAAUUCUCCCAAACUUAACCAUUCAGCCAUUUUCCCAUUUGCAUCUUCAUGUUUUUCUGAGAAUAAAAUAUCCUCGGAUAAUAUCCAAUAAACAACCACACGUGAAACCAACCUG